AGCAGCCGCGGUAAUUCCAGCUCCAAUAGCGUAUAUUAAAGUUGUUGCAGUUAAAAAGCUCGUAGUUGAAUUUCGGGGUUAGUAGGUUGGUCGUGCCACUGGUAUGUACUGGUUCUACUGAUCCCUCCUUCUUGUAGAACCGUAAUGCCAUUCACUUGGUGUUGCGGGGAAACAGGACUGUUACUUUGAAAAAAUUAGAGUGUUUAAAGCAGGCUAACGCUUGAAUACAUUAGCAUGGAAUAAUGAAAUAGGACGUUCGAUCCUAUUUUGUUGGUUUCUAGGAUUGACGUAAUGAUUAAUAGGGAUAGUUGGGGGCAUUAGUAUUCAAUUGUCAGAGGUGAAAUUCUUGGAUUUAUUGAAGACUGACUACUGCGAAAGCAUUUGCCAAGGAUGUUUUCAUUAAUCAAGAACGAAAGUUAGGGGAUCGAAGACGAUCAGAUACCGUCGUAGUCUUAACCAUAAACUAUAGCCGACUAGGGAUCGGAUGAUGUUAAUUUUUUAAUGACUCAUUCGGCGCCUU
rnacentral:rRNA from 1 species